AGUGAACGCUGGCGGUAGGCCUAACACAUGCAAGUCGAACGGCAGCACAGUAAGAGCUUGCUCUUACGGGUGGCGAGUGGCGGACGGGUGAGGAAUACAUCGGAAUCUACUUUUUCGUGGGGGAUAACGUAGGGAAACUUACGCUAAUACCGCAUACGACCUACGGGUGAAAGCAGGGGAUCUUCGGACCUUGCGCGAUUGAAUGAGCCGAUGUCGGAUUAGCUAGUUGGCGGGGUAAAGGCCCACCAAGGCGACGAUCCGUAGCUGGUCUGAGAGGAUGAACAGCCACACUGGAACUGAGACACGGUCCAGACUCCUACGGGAGGCAGCAGUGGAGAAUAUUGGACAAUGGGCGCAAGCCUGAUCCAGCCAUACCGCGUGGGUGAAGAAGGCCUUCGGGUUGUAAAGCCCUUUUGUUGGGAAAGAAAAGCAGCAGGUUAAUACCCCGCUGUUCUGACGGUACCCAAAGAAUAAGCACCGGCUAACUUCGUG
rnacentral:rRNA from 1 species